rnacentral:rRNA from 1 species
AGGGCAAGUCUGGUGCCAGCAGCCGCGGUAAUUCCAGCUCCGAUAGCGUAUAUUAAAGUUGUUGCAGUUAAAAAGCUCGUAGUUGAAUUUCGGGGUUAGUAGGCUGGUCAUGCCUCAGGUAUGUACUGAUCUCACUGAUUCCUCCUUCCUGAUGAACCGUAAUGCCAUUAAUUUGGUGUUGCGGGGAAACUGGACUGUUACUUUGAAAAAAUUAGAGUGUUUAAAGCAGGCUAACGCUUGAAUACAUUAGCAUGGAAUAAUGAAAUAGGACGUUCGAUCCUAUUUUGUUGGUUUCUAGGAUUGACGUAAUGAUUAAUAGGGAUAGUUGGGGGCAUUAGUAUUCAAUUGCCAGAGGUGAAAUUCUUGGAUUUAUUGAAGACUAACUACUGCGAAAGCAUUUGCCAAGGAUGUUUUCAUUAAUCAAGAACGAAAGUUAGGGGAUCGAAGACGAUCAGAUACCGUCGUAGUCUUAACCAUAAACUAUGCCGACUAGGGAUCGGAUGAUGUUAAUUUUUUAAUGACUCAUUCGGCGCCUUACGGGAA